rnacentral:rRNA from 1 species
AGAGUUUGAUCAUGGCUCAGGAUGAACGCUAGCGGCAGGCUUAAUACAUGCAAGUCGAGGGGUAACAUGGGUAGCAAUACCUGAUGACGACCGGCAAACGGGUGCGGAACACGUACGCAACCUUCCCAUAACUGGUGAAUAGCCCUCCGAAAGGAGGAUUAAUACACCGUAACAUAAUGAAGUGGCAUCACUUUAUUAUUAUAGGCUUCGGCCGGUUUUGGAUGGGCGUGCGCCUGAUUAGGUAGUUGGCGGGGUAACGGCCCAUCAAGCCUGCGAUCAGUAACUGGUGUGAGAGCACGACCAGUCACACGGGCACUGAGACACGGGCCCGACUCCUACGGGAGGCAGCAGUAAGGAAUAUUGGUCAAUGGACGAAAGUCUGAACCAGCCAUGCCGCGUGAAGGAUUAAGGCCCUCUGGGUUGUAAACUUCUUUUAUCUGGGACGAAAAAAGCUCAUUCUUGAGCACUUGACGGUACCAGAGGAAUAAGCACCGGCUAACUCCGUGCCAGCAGCCGCGGUAAUACGGAGGGUGCAAGCGUUAUCCGGAUUUACUGGGUUUAAAGGGUGCGUAGGUGGGCAGUUAAGUCAGUGGUGAAAUCUCCGAGCUUAACUCGGAAACUGCCAUUGAUACUAUCUGUCUUGAAUAUUCUGGAGGUGAGCGGAAUAUGUCAUGUAGCGGUGAAAUGCUUAGAUAUGACAUAGAACACCAAUUGCGAAGGCAGCUCACUACGGGAUUAUUGACACUGAGGCACGAAAGCGUGGGGAUCAAACAGGAUUAGAUACCCUAGUAGUCC